rnacentral:rRNA from 1 species
UACGAGGGGGGCGAGCGUUGUUCGGAAUUAUUGGGCGUAAAGGGUGCGUAGGCGGUUUGGUAAGUCUCGUGUGAAAUCUACAGGCUCAACUUGUAGUCUGCACGAGAAACUGCCGGGCUUGAGUAUGGGAGAGGUGAGUGGAACUGCGAGUGUAGAGGUGAAAUUCGUAGAUAUUCGCAAGAACACCAGUGGCGAAGGCGGCUCACUGGCCCGGUACUGACGCUGAGGUGCGAAAGCGUGGGGAGCAAACAGG